GACGAACGCUGGCGGCGUGCUUAACACAUGCAAGUCGAACGAAGAGCGAUGGAAGCUUGCUUCUAUCAAUCUUAGUGGCGAACGGGUGAGUAACGCGUAAUCAACCUGCCCUUCAGAGGGGGACAACAGUUGGAAACGACUGCUAAUACCGCAUACGAUCUGACCUCGGCAACGAGGAUGGAUGAAAGGUGGCCUCUAUUUAUAAGCUAUCACUGAAGGAGGGGAUUGCGUCUGAUUAGCUAGUUGGAGGGGUAACGGCCCACCAAGGCGAUGAUCAGUAGCCGGUCUGAGAGGAUGAACGGCCACAUUGGGACUGAGACACGGCCCAGACUCCUACGGGAGGCAGCAGUGGGGAAUCUUCCGCAAUGGACGAAAGUCUGACGGAGCAACGCCGCGUGAGUGAUGACGGCCUUCGGGUUGUAAAGCUCUGUUAAUCGGGACGAAAGGCCUUCUUGCGAAUAGUUAGAAG
rnacentral:rRNA from 1 species